rnacentral:rRNA from 1 species
UACGGAGGGUGCAAGCGUUGUCCGGAUUUAUUGGGUUUAAAGGGUGCGUAGGUGGUCUUCUAAGUCUGGUUUGAAAGCAAGUGGCUCAACCAUUUGAUGUGGCUGGAAACUGGGGGACUUGAAUGGAUUGGCGGUAGCCGGAAUGGGUCAUGUAGCGGUGAAAUGCAUAGAUAUGACCCGGAACACCGAUUGCGAAGGCAGGCUACUACGAUUUGAUUGACACUGAGGCACGAGAGCAUGGGUAGCGAACAGG